rnacentral:lncRNA from 1 species
AUGGGAGGUCAGGCAAGGAUCAGGCAUGGAGCGGGAGCAUGAUGGGAAUGGGAGUCAAGGCAGGGGUGAGGCAGGAGCGGAGCAGGAAUCAAAAACAGGGUUGGCACAGGAGGUAGGCACAAGCAGGGUCCAAUGCAGCAACAAUAGGAAAUCACCUUGUUGCUCAGACAGACUUCCUGUGCCUCCUUCUGGCUUAAAUAGUGUGGUUGGACCAAUUGGUGAAGCCAGGCGAUCCUCCAAUCAGGGUUCCUGUGGGUGGUGCCUUGGCGGAUGCUAUAGUCCUACUAGCUUCUCAGCCCACCAGGUUUCAGCAGAUGUUGGGUGUGGUCCAGGAUGCAGCAGCUGUUUAGGGACUCCCAGGCCUAGGUUCAAGACCUGGAACAUCACCCUUCCCUUCUCUCUCUGUCACCGCUCCAUGCAUCUUGUCAAUCCAUACCCAUCUGCUUCCUGGGCACCAGACACCUCUGAAGAAAGUCCAGGGACCAUGUGGACUUCCUCCACCACACAUUUGUUCUCUCUUAUCUUUCAGUUUUGGCAUCACCCUUGCCAAAGAACUUCCUAUCUCUUCCCUAAUUGGCUUCAGUGCCCAUCACCUCUUCACUUUUCUUCCUCUCAUUCCCUCUCCUCUCCCCUUCUUCCCCUGUCUUCCUCUGGGCACAAGAACUUGCCAAAAUUUUCAGAGGCAGGGAUGACACUAUCAGUGGUGAGCUCCAUCCCCCUCCUUGCAUCUAUCCUCACUCAGCCUCAUUCCCAGUUUCUCUCAUCCAGCUCUGUUCCUGCUCUCAGUCGGCACCAGUCUGUAAUGAAUCCACAUGCAGCAAACAACAGCCACAAUGUCAGGGAGAAUCUCUCUUCUCUUCUCUCUCACAUAUCCAGAUCCUUCAGCUCCAAAAGCAUAGGCUUGUACCACUUGGGCUAAAAGAGGUCUUCCACAGUUGGAACGCUUCCCUGCCAGACAGCCGCUAGAGGGCAGCAUCUCACUAGCAAAGCUACAUUGCCUCUGCAUUG